GAGUUUGAUCCUGGCUCAGAAUCAACGCUGGCGGCGUGCCUAACACAUGCAAGUCGAACGAGAAAGUGGAGCAAUCCACGAGUACAGUGGCGCACGGGUGAGUAACACCGUGACUAACCUACCCUUGAGUGGGGGAUAACCUAGAGAAAUCUGGGCUAAUACCGCAUAAUACCUUCGGGUCAAAGGAGCAAUUCGCUUAAGA
rnacentral:rRNA from 1 species